CAUUGAAACAUCAGUUCCCGUACGAUCACCAAAGUUAAGCAACGUCGAGCCUGGUCAGUACUUACAUGGAUGACUGCUUGGGGACAUCAGGUGUUGCAA